UGUGUACUCCCUCCGUUCCAAAAUACUUGACUUCCAGUUGUCCAAAAAUGGAUGUACCUAUAUACUAAAACAUGUCUAGAUACAUAUAUAUUUUGACAAAUAGAAGGCAUGUAUUGUGCAACGGAGGGAGUAGAAU
rnacentral:pre_miRNA from 1 species